GCCUGGGUGGCUCAGUCAGUUAAGCAUCUGACUUCAGCUCAGGUCACCAUCUCAUGGUCCGUGAGUUCGAGCCCCACGUCGGGCU
rnacentral:tRNA from 1 species